CAAGAUACUAGCUCAGUUUGGCGAGAUAGCCCAUCUGCGUUCCCGUUCUGUUUGCCAGGUCGGUAAUGGAUGGUGAAGUCAUAGGGCUAGACUCCACCUUAGAAGACGGGAAUUAUCUCCAGCGACACAGUUUAGCCAAACUAGGGGGUUAUGGUCAGUGAUGAGAUUUAAAGCGCGGCCAUAGAGAUAUGGGGUCAGUUUUUUCAGUGCCCACACUAAGGCUAGGAACUCUUUCUCAAUGGCCGCGUAAAUGACCUCCCUGGGUAGUAGCUUCCGGCUCAAAUAGGCGAC